rnacentral:rRNA from 1 species
CAGUCGCCGCGGGAAUACGGAGGGUGCAAGCGUUAAUCGGAAUUACUGGGCGUAAAGCGCACGCAGGCGGUCUGACAAGUCAGAUGUGAAAUCCCCGGGCUUAACCUGGGAACUGCAUUUGAAACUGUCAGGCUGGAGUCUUGUAGAGGGGGGUGGAAUUCCAGGUGUAGCGGUGAAAUGCGUAGAGAUCUGGAGGAAUACCGGUGGCGAAGGCGGCCCCCUGGACAAAGACUGACGCUCAGGUGCGAAAGCGUGGGGAGCAAACAGGAUUAGAUACCCCCGUAGUCCCUGUUUCUUAUAC